rnacentral:rRNA from 1 species
UACGAGAGGCCCAAACGUUAUUCGGAAUUACUGGGCUUAAAGAGUUCGUAGGCGGCGCAGAAAGUAGGGUGUGAAAGCCCUCGGCUCAACCGAGGAAUUGCGCUCUAAACUACUGUGCUUGAGGAACCUAGAGGUGAGCAGAACUGAUGGUGGAGCGGUGAAAUGCGUUGAUAUCAAUCAGGAAUACCGGAGGCGAAGGCGGCUCACUGGGGGUUUUCUGACGCUGAGGAACGGAAAGCCAAGGGAGCGAACGGG